UACGGAGGAUGCGAGCGUUAUCCGGAUUUAUUGGGUUUAAAGGGUGCGUAGGCGGGAUGCCAAGUCAGCGGUAAAAAUGCGGUGCUCAACGCCGUCGAGCCGUUGAAACUGGCGUUCUUGAGUGGGCGAGAAGUAUGCGGAAUGCGUGGUGUAGCGGUGAAAUGCAUAGAUAUCACGCAGAACUCCGAUUGCGAAGGCAGCAUACCGGCGCCCGACUGACGCUGAAGCACGAAAGCGUGGGUAUCGAACAGG
rnacentral:rRNA from 1 species